UAGGAAAGGUAUUAGACAGGGAGGAAAAGGGUAACAGCCUCUGUUCAGCUGAGGGAUAAUGAAAAAUACUUUGCUCCAAAGUGCUUUCAGCUGUUAGUCAUUCACUGCACAGUGCCUCCUACCUAGCUCCUGCUUAGCUGCGCGGUCGGCUCCCUUCUAUCUUGGGGCAGCAGCUAGGGGCAGAAAUGCGCAGAGCAGGAAGAGGACCGGAAACUACUUCAAAACUACUUCAUUGGUAGUUCUGCCUGGGGCCAGCCCUAAUUAAUAACCGCACCUAUUGUUAAAAACCCUUUCUGCUAUAGGAAUGUAAAAGUAGGGGUGGGUGAGUGAGAAACAUUACCUCCAUAUCCUCUCGCACUUGUUCCUGCUGGUCUCUCAGCUCUCCAAAAGCAUCGAUAAUAAGACCUAGAAUUUAAAAUACAAACUGUGUUUCUCUGCAUAGUGGUCACAGGGAUAGGAGUGAUGGGGGCGGGUGGGGAGCAGAGGCCACUUUGUUUUGUCCAAAAAGUGAAUUAUCAGCCUGAACUAUUCAAUUAAGGCGAAACUGGGGGAAACAGCCUGCUUUGCCAGAGCUUCACGCUGGCCCCGUCUUACUGCUCCUCUUACUCCACUUCAGUGCUGUGUACCUGCUCCUCCUCGGAACUCUCUCCUCCCCACCUUCCCCUCAUUCUUCUCUCUUGCUCAGUGGUUUGUUUUCAGUCUUCGCAGUGGGUGCUUCUCCUCCUGACCCUCACGAGGGUCCUUCUUUCUAGCACAUAACAGGGCAUAUCUUACAGGCUCCUCAGCUCACCAUGAACUGGACUAAACUCAUUGUCUGUCCUUCACUGGUUCCUGAGAAGCUACUGACUAAGACAUAGUACCCCUUCCUUUCCCCAGAAGACGAUAAAACAUGAUGUUCCCAUAGUCCUCUGCUCCCUCCCCACCUUUCUGCCUGGGAGACCAAAGACUGGGCCGCAGGAGCCACGGGACGAGGAGCUAAUCCAGGGAGGCAGUGUGACAUGGUGGCCUCACAGCAGCAGGGGGACUCACCGUCAUCAUGUCAUCACACUUCAUGUCGGGCUCAUCGUCAUCUUCACUUUUGUUGUAGAACUUACGGAAGAAGUUGAAGGCCACCACCGUGUAGAGGUGGCUCUGGUGCUCAUGCCCUUGUGUAGCUCCCUAUGCAACACUGACUCUGAGCUGGCCACAUAACUUGCUUUUCUUGUUGGUAUCUGGGAUUGAACUCGGGACCAUGUGCUUUCGAGGCAGGCGGCGGAACCACUGAGCUAAAUCCCCAG
rnacentral:lncRNA from 1 species